rnacentral:rRNA from 1 species
AUUGAACGCUGGCGGCAUGCUUUACACAUGCAAGUCGAACGGUAACAGGCCGCAAGGUGCUGACGAGUGGCGAAUGGGUGAGUAAUGCAUCGGAACGUGCCCAGUCGUGGGGGAUAACGCAGCGAAAGCUGCGCUAAUACCGCAUACGAUCUAUGGAUGAAAGCGGGGGACCGUAAGGCCUCGCGCGAUUGGAGCGGCCGAUGUCAGAUUAGGUAGUUGGUGGGGGAAAGACGCACCAAGCCAACGAUCUGUAGCUGGUCUGAGAGGACGACCAGCCACACUGGGACUGAGACACGGCCCAGACUCCUACGGGAGGCAGCAGUGGGGAAUUUUGGACAAUGGGCGCAAGCCUGAUCCAGCAAUGCCGCGUGCAGGAAGAAGGCCUUCGGGUUGUAAACUGCUUUUGUACGGAACGAAACGGUCCUGGUUAAUACCCGGGGCUAAUGACGGUACCGUAAGAAUAAGCACCGGCUAACUACGUGCCAGCAGCCGCGGUAACAC